UAUACUGCACAUUGCGCUCCAAAGACAGCAGGAAGCUUUACGCUGUAACGGCAAGUCCGUCCUGCCGAGGAAGCUCAUCUGAAUCAUGGGAUUUUUGAUGGCUUUACGUCCUCGCGUCUUUUGGCGCGGGGACUUUUUUCUGUGGGC
rfam:Papillibacter cinnamivorans DSM 12816 genome assembly, contig: EJ70DRAFT_scaffold00001.1